AACGCAGGUGGUUCGGUAAGUCAGGGGUGAAAGUCCACAGCUUAACUGUGGCACUGCCUUUGAUACUACCUUUCUUGAGUGCAUGAGGGGGAAGCGGAAUUCCGAGUGUAGAGGUGAAAUUCGUAGAUAUUCGGAGGAACACCGGUGGCGAAGGCGGCUUCCUGGCAUGUAACUGACACUCAUGUUCGAAAGCGUGGGGAGCAAACAGGAUUAGAUACCCUAGUAGUCCACGCCCUAAACGAUGGGCACUAGGUGUGGGAGGUAUCGACCCCUUCCGUGCCGCAGCUAACGCAUUAAGUGCCCCGCCUGGGGAGUACGGCCGCAAGGUUGAA
rnacentral:rRNA from 1 species